rnacentral:rRNA from 1 species
AUUGAACGCUGGCGGCAUGCCUUACACAUGCAAGUCGAACGGUAACAGGUCUUCGGAUGCUGACGAGUGGCGAACGGGUGAGUAAUACAUCGGAACGUGCCUAGUAGUGGGGGAUAACUACUCGAAAGAGUGGCUAAUACCGCAUGAGAUCUACGGAUGAAAGCAGGGGAUCGCAAGACCUUGUGCUACUAGAGCGGCCGAUGGCAGAUUAGGUAGUUGGUGGGAUAAAAGCUUACCAAGCCGACGAUCUGUAGCUGGUCUGAGAGGACGAUCAGCACCACUGGGACUGAGACACGGCCCAGACUCCUACGGGAGGCAGCAGUGGGGAAUUUUGGACAAUGGGCGCAAGCCUGAUCCAGCAAUGCCGCGUGCAGGAUGAAGGCCUUCGGGUUGUAAACUGCUUUUGUACGGAACGAAAAGCCCCGGGUUAAUACCCUGGGGUCAUGACGGUACCGUAAGAAUAAGCACCGGCUAACUACGUGCCAGCAGCCGCCGCGG